CAGACGCACAGUGAGUCAUUGUAAGCACGGCUUUAAGCUUAAUACAAAAUUGAAAAUAAUAAGUAGGUAAUAUAUUAUAAGUAUACAUGGUCUUGCAGUUUAUAAAAUUUAUUUUAAAUAGAGAGCAGGUCAUUUCUAUUGAUGAGCAAAACUGCACACCCCAAGUGCAGAUGUGUGAAGUGCUAACCGAAGGUAAAUAAUACUCAAAAUAAAAUAAUAAGAUGGCCAGAUGUAACUUCUCCAAAACAUGAUACUCUUGGAAAUUCAACUAAUGAUCACAAAAAAGGAAUUAAUAUGGUAAAUAAUGCUCAAAAUAAAAAAAUAACAUCAUCAGAUGUAACUUUUCCAAAACAUGAUACUCUUGGAAAUUAGAGAUCAAUUCAAAUUUGGUGAAUGUUUAUCAGCUAUUGAUUCUAUAUUUACAGUCUCAAUUGAAAAAUCCAGAUAUUUCUGGUGAUGUAAAAGAGAGUACAUCAGAUAACCUUAAAAUUAAUAUAAAUGACAAAGUUGUGAGUGAUGUAUUCACUAUACUCCAUUCACAUUAAGAAAAACGGAUUUUUGUCAGGGUGCGGUCAGGCAAUACCUACUCUGACCCAGACAGCAUUUUGUAAUGAUAAUAUUAUAAUAGUAUUAUAAUAAUAACGUUAAACUAAUAUUAUUCUUUAUUAUAAAGUUAUAAUAAUAUUAUUAAACAAAAAAUUGUUGUCUGGGGAGUUAACCAUUUGUAAGACUGCACGUCCAAUGUUUAGUUAAGCAGUUGUGCACAAUUUGGCUGCUAAGGAUCAUUCUUAAGAGUGUUGUCGCUGUCUUACAUACAAAGCAAAUCUUUGUAUUAUAUUCUACGCAUUAUUUAUAAUUAUUAGUUGAUAAUAAUUUUAUUUUACAUUUUUUAUAAUUAGAUAUAGGUAACUUGAAGAAUUUCAAUAAUUUCAAUUUUAAUAUUUAUAGGUAUAACUCAAUAUAAUAACAUAUACAGUUGACUCUUGGUAACUCGAACCAUCAUAACUCGAAAUUAUCAACAUCUCAAACAAAUAAAAUUCCCCUUCAAAUAACAAUAACACAUUAAGAUUUUGCAAACUCAAAAUGUUUAGAUAAAUUGUAUCCAGCUCAGGCAAGUUCUAGUAUUAUUGGUGAAAAAAUAUCAAAUAUGUGUUUGGAAACUUCUUCAAAAUCUAUUAGAAGUACGCGAUCCAAUAAGCAAGCUCAUAACAAAUUAGAUAAAACAUCAACAAAACUAUUAAAAAGAUCAAAUUCAGUAUAAUAGAUUCUAAGCACAAAUCGAAAAACCUUCUCCUGGUGUUGCUGAAAGAAAUACUUAUUCCAAUAAUAAUUAUCCAAAAUUAUUUGAUGGUAUAAACAUACAUGUAUGUGGAGGUAAUGGUUGGAAUCAGUUUACACUUAUAAAUUACAAUAUGAAACAUUUAAAAGCUUUUCAUAUUUCAUGGUCCAUGGAAGCUGUACAAAAGUAUAAUAUAAUAUAUUAUAAUGGUUUUUUAUUUCUAAUUAUAUAAUCAUUUUCAUGUUUCCAAUAGUUAUUACUAAUUGA